rnacentral:rRNA from 1 species
UACGUAGGGGGGCUAGCGUUGUCCGGAAUCAUUGGGCGUAAAGAGCGUGUAGGCGGUCCGGUAAGUCCGCUGUGAAAGUCGGGGGGCUCAACCCUCGAAUGCCGGUGGAUACUGUCGGGCUAGAGUGCGGAAGAGGCGAGUGGAAUUCCUGGUGUAGCGGUGAAAUGCGCAGAUAUCAGGAGGAACACCUAUUGCGAAGGCAGCUCGCUGGGACGUAACUGACGCUGGAGACGCGAAAGCGUGGGGAGCAAACAGG